UCCACAAUCCUAACAAUUAUCCUCUACUGCC
rnacentral:piRNA from 1 species